rnacentral:rRNA from 1 species
AUGUCCGAUGUCAUGGAUGAAGGUUUAUGGUGCGAGCGGGUGUUUAGAGACCAUCAACUCUCUGUGGUGCGUCUCCAUACCGCUACUGACAAUGUUUUUCAAGGCAAUGACUUUAUUGUCAGCAACAAUAAAACCAUCUGUGACAUAGUAUCAUGUCAACAUGUCGUCAAGAUGCUUCCCGUGGGUGGAACAAUGGCUGUUUAUUUCUUCAACUCCGACGGAUUGAUCCCACGCCGAUACAAUGCAAGAAUAAUUCGUACUGAUGAGGGUCGGGAUCUUGCUUGGCUGCGGGCUCAAGAUGUCUAUGAACCAGUGACUUGUCUGAGGUUCUUCGACCCACCAUAUGCUUCUGGGUGGAAUGUUGUUGCGCUGGCUUAUACCACAUUGGAUGGUUCUUCUGCUACUAUUCUAGAGCCAGGGACGUAUUCUGGUCAAAUAACCAAUGAACCAGAUGAAGUGUCGCUUACCUGCAGUUGUACAUCUAAGCAAGGUGCAUCAGGUUCACCUCUUAUUUUGCCACGGAUAGACAGGGUAGUUGGGGUGCUUGCCGGAGCUUCACAUGCAUCGGUAUACGCUGUUCCUGUCACACAUAUAAGGGAGUUCUUAAUAGAGUGGCUUGGUGGAGACGAAGACCUGAACGAAGUACGAACUGCUGGGUUGGUUAUGCUUGUCGCAAAGGGCCAAUAG